UGGGGAAUAUUGCACAAUGGGCGCAAGCCUGAUGCAGCCAUGCCGCGUGUGUGAAGAGGCCUUCGGGUGUAAAGCACUUUCAGCGAGGAGGAAGGUGUGAACUUAAUACGUUCAUCAAUUGACGUUACUCGCAGAAGAAGCACCGGCUAACUCCGUGCCAGCAGCCGCGGUAAUACGGAGGGUGCAAGCGUUAAUCGGAAUUACUGGGCGUAAAGCGCAGCAAGGCGGUUUGUUAAGUCAGAUGUGAAAUCCCCGGGCUCAACCUGGGAACUGCAUUUGAAACUGGCAAGCUAGAUCUCGUAGAGGGGGGUAGAAUUCCAGGUGUAGCGGUGAAAUGCGUAGAGAUCUGGAGGAAUACCGGUGGCGAAGGNGCCCCCUGGACGAAGACUGACGCUCAGGUGCGAAAGCGUGGGGAGCAAAACAGGAUUAGAUACCCUGGUAGUCC
rnacentral:rRNA from 1 species